rnacentral:misc_RNA from 1 species
UGGACUACCGGGGUUUCUAAUCCUGUUUGCUACCCACGCUUUCGAGCCUCAGUGUCAGUAUGAUGCCAGAAGGCUGCCUUCGCCAUCGGUAUUCCUCCAGAUCUCUACGCAUUUCACCGCUACACCUGGAAUUCUACCUUCCUCUCACCUACUCUAGCCUGACAGUAUCAGAUGCAGUUCCCAGGUUAAGCCCGGGGAUUUCACAUCUGACUUAUCAAGCCACCUACGCUCGCUUUACGCCCAGUAAUUCCGAUUAACGCUUGCACCCUCUGUAUUACCGCGGCUGCUGGCACU